UAGGGAAUCUUCCACAAUGGGCGAAAGCCUGAUGGAGCAACGCCGCGUGUGUGAUGAAGGGUUCCGGCUCGUAAAACACUGUUGUAAGAGAAGAAUGACAUUGAGAGUAACUGUUCAAUGUGUGACGGUGUCUUACCAGAAAGGAACGGCUAAAUACGUGCCAA
rnacentral:rRNA from 1 species